AUUGAACGCUGGCGGCAGGCCUAACACAUGCAAGUCGAAUGGUAACAGGAAACAGCUUUCUGUUUCGCUGACGAGUGGCGUACGGGUGAGUAAUGUCUGCGAAACUGCCUGAUGGAGGGGGAUAACUACUGGAAACGGUAGCUAAUACCGCAUAACGUCGCAAGACCAAAGAGGGGGACCUUCGGGCCUCUUGCCAUCAGAUGUGCCCAGAUGGGAUUUGCUAGUAGGUGGGGUAACGGCUCACCUAGGCGCCAGUCCCUAGCUGGUCUGAGAGGAUGACCGGCGACGCUUGAACUGAGUGGCGUUCCCGACUCCUGCGGCAGGCCGAGCUGGAGACUCUUGCACAUGGGGCGCAAGCCUCACGCAGUCAUGCUGCGUGUAUGAAGACGUCUUUCGGGUUGUAAAGUACUUUCGGAGGGGAGGAAGCGAGUAUAGUUAAUACCUUUGCUCAUCGACGUUACCCGUAGAAGAGGCCCCGGCUAAUUCCGU
rnacentral:rRNA from 1 species